rnacentral:rRNA from 1 species
UUAGAUUUUAUUUAUUAAUUUUAUUUAUUUAUUUAAUUUAUUUAAUAAAAAUAAUUUUAGAAUUUUAAGUUUUAGUAUUUUAUAAAGAAAAAAUAAUUUUAAUUAUAGUUUAUUUGUAUUGAAAAAGAAAAUUGAAAUAAUUUGAAAAAUUUUUAUUUUAAAAGAAAAUUUAAUUUAUUGUACCUUGUGUAUCAGGGUUUAUUAAAUAAAAAAUUAUUAUAUUAAUUUUUCUCGAAUUUUAAAGAUUUAAUUAUAUAUAAAAGUUACUGUGGAAUAAUUAUUUUUAAUAUAUAAUUAGAAAUGAAAUGUUAAUCGUUUUAAAAUAUAUCUAGUUUCUUAAGAAAUAAAUUUAAUUUAGAUUUAUAAAUUUAAAUUAUUUAAUUAUUUUAAAUAAUUUAUUUUAUAAAAUUAAUAUUUUAAGGGAUUAGCUUUAAAAUAAAUUUUUAAAUUUUAAAUUAAUUAUUUAAUAAAUAUAAGCUUAAAAAUAGCUAUUAUUAAUAAAUUUGUUAUAAUUUAUUUUAAAAAUUUAAUUAUUUAGUAUGAAAUUAAAUUAUUUAUUAAGAUAUAAAUUUUAAUAAUAAAAAUUUAUUAAUUAUGAUAAAAUUAGUAUAUAAAAUUUUAUAAAUAAUUAUUUAUGAAAGGUUUAAAUAAGGAAUUCGGCAAAAAAUAUAUUCACCUGUUUAUCAAAAACAUGUCUUUUUGAAUUAAAUUUAAAGUCUAACCUGCCCACUGAUAAAAAUUAAAGGGCCGCGGUAUCUUGACUGUGCGAAGGUAGCAUAAUCAUUAGUCUUUUAAUUGGAGGCUUGUAUGAAUGGUUGAAUGAGAUAUAUACUGUCUUUUUUAAAAUUAAAUAGAAUUUUAUUUUUUAAUUAAAAAGUUAAAAUAAAAUUAAAGGACGAGAAGACCCUAUAGAUCUUUAUUUUUGUUAUUUAUAAAUUAAAAAGAAUUUUAAAAUUUAUAAUUUAAUAAAAAAUUUUAUUGGGGUGAUAUUAAAAUUUAAAAAACUUUUAAAAUUUAUUAACAUUAAUAUAUGAAUAAAUGAUCCAGUUUUAUUGAUUAAAAAUUUAAGUUACCUUAGGGAUAACAGCGUAAUUUUUUUUUAGAGUUCAUAUCGACAAAAAAGAUUGCGACCUCGAUGUUGGAUUAAGAGUUAUUUUUAGGUGUAGAAGUUUAAAGUUUAGGUCUGUUCGACCUUUGAAUUCUUACAUGAUCUGAGUUCAAACCGGCGUAAGCCAGGUUGGUUUCUAUCCUUAAUUAAUUAUUAUAUUAUAGUACGAAAGGACCUAAUAUAAAAAAUAUAGAUUUUAAUAAUAUGAUUAAUAUUAAUAUUAGAU